UUAAACAACACCUUGCCACCUUGCCACCCCUCCGGUCCGAGUUGGUCUCGUCCGUGUGUCCAGCAUCAAACGCACAUGUUGGGUGUGUUGUGUUGAGGAUUGCAGCGAUAUUACAGCAUUUAGUGAACCUCUGCGCUGUUACGUUGCUGUCUGCUCUCUAAUGAUCACCGUUACAAUGCGUUAAGUGUUACAGGCAUUGAGAAACACUGAAAACAAUCAGCUUUAUAGUAGGAAACACUUGUUGUGAGGAGGUUGACACGCGUCCCAGCGUGUCUGCAGACGGUUCCUGUUCACCUGUGAAGUCAGCAGCUUUGUGACGCAGUUUUUUCCCACCAUCUAAAAGAGCCCUGAACAGCACCGACUAGCUGACAAUAUGUGAUACCAGCAGUAGCUGUAAUAUGUGAUACCAGCAGUAACUGUAAUAUGUGAUACCAGCAGUAGCUGUAAUAUGUGAUACCAGCAGUAGCUGACAAUAUGUGAUACCAGCAGUAGCUGUAAUAUGUGAUACCAGCAGUAGCUGACAAUAUAUGAUACCAGCAGUAGCUGUAAUAUGUGAUACCAGCAGUAGCUGACAAUAUGUGAUACCAGCAGUAGCUGACAAUAUGUGAUACCAGCAGUAGCUGUAAUAUGUGAUACCAGCAGUAGCUGUAAUAUGUGAUACCAGCAGUAGCUGACAAUAUGUGAUACCAGCAGUAGCUGACAAUAUGUGAUACCAGCAGUAGCUGACAAUAUGUGAUACCAGCAGUAGCUGACAAUAUGUGAUACCAGCAGUAGCUGACAAUAUGUGAUACCAGCAGUAGCUGUAAUAUGUGAUACCAGCAGUAGCUGACAAUAUAUGAUACCAGCAGUAGCUGUAAUAUGUGAUACCAGCAGUAGCUGACAAUAUGUGAUACCAGCAGUAGCUGACAAUAUGUGAUACCAGCAGUAGCUGUAAUAUGUGAUACCAGCAGUAGCUGUAAUAUGUGAUACCAGCAGUAGCUGACAAUAUGUGAUACCAGCAGUAGCUGACAAUAUGUGAUACCAGCAGUAGCUGACAAUAUGUGAUACCAGCAGUAGCUGUAAUAUGUGAUACCAGCAGUAGCUGACAAUAUGUGAUACCAGCAGUAGCUGACAAUAUGUGAUACCAGCAGUAGCUGACAAUAUGUGAUACCAGCAGUAGCUGACAAUAUGUGAUACCAGCAGUAGCUGACAAUAUGUGAUACCAGCAGUAGCUGACAAUAUGUGAUACCAGCAGUAGCUGUAAUAUGUGAUACCAGCAGUAGCUGUAAUAUGUGAUACCAGCAGUAGCUGACAAUAUGUGAUACCAGCAGUAGCUGACAAUAUGUGAUACCAGCAGUAGCUGUAAUAUGUGAUACCAGCAGUAGCUGUAAUAUGUGAUACCAGCAGUAGCUG